GCUACUACCGAUUGAAUGGUUUAGUGAGGACUCCUGAUUGGCGCCGCCGCCCCGGCAACGGAGCAGCGGACUGCCGAAAAGUUGUUCAAACUUGAUCAUUUAGAGGAAGGAGAAGUCGUAACAAGGUUUCCGUAGGUGAACCUGCAGAAGGACA
rnacentral:misc_RNA from 1 species